GUCUGUGUUCAGGGAUGUCUUUCCAGGCUAGCUCUGCUGCCUGAGUUCUUGGCUGACUCCCUGACCUGGUUGUC